rnacentral:rRNA from 1 species
GACGAACGCUGGCGGCGUGCCUAAUACAUGCAAGUCGAACGCAUUUUCUUUCACCGUAGCUUGCUACACCGAAAGAAAAUGAGUGGCGAACGGGUGAGUAACACGCGGGUAACCUGCCCAUCAGCGGGGGAUAACACUUGGAAACAGGUGCUAAUACCGCAUAAUUCCAUUUACUGCAUGGUAGAUGGAUGAAAGGCGCUUUUGCGUCACUGAUGGAUGGACCCGCGGUGCAUUAGCUAGUUGGUGGGGUAACGGCCUACCAAGGCUGCGAUGCAUAGCCGACCUGAGAGGGUGAUCGGCCACACUGGGACUGAGACACGGCCCAGACUCCUACGGGAGGCAGCAGUAGGGAAUCUUCGGCAAUGGACGCAAGUCUGACCGAGCAACGCCGCGUGAGUGAAGAAGGUUUUCGGAUCGUAAAACUCUGUUGUUAGAAAAGAACAAGGAUGAGAGUGGAAAGUUCAUCCCUUGACGGUAGCUAACCAGAAAGCCACGGCUAACUACGUG